rnacentral:tRNA from 1 species
GGAGGCGAACGGGGUCUGGUGGCCCUCCUGGUCUUCAAAACCAGCGGACCGCCCCAAGCGGUCGGUGGGUUCGAUUCCCAUCCGCCUCCGCCA